UGGGGAAUCUUGCACAAUGCGCGAAAGCGUGAUGCAGCAACGCCGCGUGGGGGAAGAAGGCCUUCGGGUUGUAAACCCCUUUCAGUUGGGACGAAGCUUCGCCGGUGAAUAGCCGGCUGGAGUGACGGUACCUUCACAAGAAGCCCCGGCUAACUACGUGCCAGCAGCCGCGGUAAUACGUAGGGGGCAAGCGUUGUCCGGAAUCAUUGGGCGUAAAGCGCGUGUAGGCGGCCCGGUAAGUCCGCUGUGAAAGUCGGGGGCUCAACCCUCGGAUGCCGGUGGAUACUGUCGGGCUCGAGUACGGAAGAGGCGAGUGGAAUUCCUGGUGUAGCGGUGAAAUGCGCAGAUAUCAGGAGGAACACCAAUUGCGAAGGCAGCUCGCUGGGACGUUACUGACGCUGAGACGCGAAAGCGUGGGGAGCAAACA
rnacentral:rRNA from 1 species